UACGUAGGUGGCAAACGUUAUCCGGAAUUACUGGGCGUAAAGGGUCCGUAGGCGGACCACCAAGUCUGGUGUGACACUGCUCGGCUUAACUGAGCAACGCCACUGGAAACUGGUGGACUAGAAUCUGGUCGAGGUCGGCGGAAUUCCCGGUGUAGUGGUGGAAUGCGUAGAGAUCGGGAGGAACCUCGAAAGCGAAGGCAGCCGGCUAGGUCAAGAUUGACGCUGAGGGACGAGAGCGUGGGGAGCAAACAGG
rnacentral:rRNA from 1 species